rnacentral:rRNA from 1 species
UACAGAGGGGGCAAGCGUUGUUCGGAAUUACUGGGCGUAAAGGGCGCGUAGGCGGCCAACUAAGUCGGACGUGAAAUCCCCGGGCUCAACCCGGGAACUGCAUUUGUGACUGCAUGGCUGGAGUGCGGCAGAGGGGGAUGGAAUUCCGCGUGUAGCAGUGAAAUGCGUAGAUAUCGGGAGGAACACCGGUGGCGAAGGCGGCCUUCUGGACGGAUACUGACGCUGAGACGCGAAAGCGUGGGGAGCAAACAGG